GACGAACGCUGGCGGCGUGCUUAACACAUGCAAGUCGAACGGAAAGGCCCUGCUUUUGUGGGGUGCUCGAGUGGCGAACGGGUGAGUAACACGUGAGUAACCUGCCCUUGACUUUGGGAUAACUUCAGGAAACUGGGGCUAAUACCGGAUAGGAGCUCCUGCUGCAUGGUGGGGGUUGGAAAGUUUCGGCGGUUGGGGAUGGACUCGCGGCUUAUCAGCUUGUUGGUGGGGUAGUGGCUUACCAAGGCUUUGACGGGUAGCCGGCCUGAGAGGGUGACCGGCCACAUUGGGACUGAGAUACGGCCCAGACUCCUACGGGAGGCAGCAGUGGGGAAUAUUGCACAAUGGGCGGAAGCCUGAUGCAACAACGCCGCGUGCGGGAUGACGGCCUUCGGGUUGUAAACCGCUUUCGCCUGCGACGAAGCGUGAGUGACGGUAAUGGGUAAAGAAGCACCGGCUAACUACGU
rnacentral:rRNA from 1 species